rnacentral:rRNA from 1 species
UACGUAGGGUGCGAGCGUUGUCCGGAAUUAUUGGGCGUAAAGAGCUUGUAGGCGGUCUGUCGCGUCUGCUGUGAAAAUCCGGGGCUCAACCCCGGACUUGCAGUGGGUACGGGCAGACUAGAGUGUGGUAGGGGAGACUGGAAUUCCUGGUGUAGCGGUGAAAUGCGCAGAUAUCAGGAGGAACACCGAUGGCGAAGGCAGGUCUC